CCUUCGCCUCCUGAGGCACAGGGAGAGGGCAGGAAGGGACAGGAGCGGAGCAGGACACAUCUCACAGUGCCCGCAGGCUCCACCCAGCUGCCUCUGUGCCCUGGCCUCUUUCCCUGUGGUGUGGCUCCGGGGCUGUGCCUGACCCCUGAGCAGCUCUGUGAUGGGAUCCCAGACUGUCCCCAGGGCGAGGACGAGCUGGACUGCGGGGGGCUGCCAGCCCUGGGAGGCCCCAACAGGACAGGGCUUCCCUGCCCAGAAUACACCUGCCCCAAUGGCACCUGCAUAGGCUUCCAGCUGGUGUGUGAUGGGCAGCCUGACUGUGGAAGGCCAGGGCAGGUGGGCCCCUCCCCAGAAGAGCAGGGUUGUGGGGCCUGGGGCCCCUGGAGCCCAUGGGGGCCCUGCAGCCGGAC
rnacentral:lncRNA from 1 species